CGGGUGGCGGUGUAGAAAAAAAAGAAAAAAAGAAAAAAAGAAAAAAGAUUAUACUCGAUCUUUGUCGAGCCUCUUCAUUUUCAGAAUUCAGACACAGAGAUCGAAAUCGUUUCUUCCAUGAUUGUUGUUCACACUAUCAUGCUCGACUUCCCCGGGAAUUUUGAAUAACCAACUGCAAAACGUAUUAAGAUGCUUUUCAAUUCUCAUUUUGGACAUCUGGAAAUCUAGAUCCUCCUCUAUGAACCUGAUCUGAUAUCUGAUCUCUCCAAUUCCCCAUCGAUGGCGGGCGCCGUUUCGGCGCUCUUCCUUCUUGACAUCAAAGGCCGCGUUUUGGUGUGGCGUGAUUACAGAGGCGAUGUCACAGCUGUUCAGGCGGAGCGAUUCUUCACGAAGCUCAUCGAGAAAGAGGGAGAUUCGCAGCCUCAAGAUCCAGUCGUGUAUGAUAAUGGCGUCAGCUACAUGUACAUACAACACAACAAUGUUUACCUAAUGACAGCUUCAAGACAGAAUUGCAAUGCUGCUAGUCUUCUUCUCUUUUUACAUCGAGUAGUCGAUGUAUUCAAGCAUUAUUUCGAGGAGUUAGAAGAGGAAUCACUAAGAGAUAAUUUUGUGGUUGUGUACGAGUUACUUGAUGAAAUGAUGGACUUUGGUUAUCCUCAGUAUACAGAAGCAAAAAUUCUUAGUGAGUUCAUCAAGACUGAUGCAUACAGGAUGGAAGUCACUCAGCGGCCUCCCAUGGCUGUAACAAAUGCAGUGUCUUGGCGAAGUGAAGGGAUACGAUACAAGAAGAAUGAAGUGUUUUUGGAUGUGGUUGAAAGCGUUAAUAUACUUGUCAAUAGCAAUGGGCAAAUAAUUCGAUCAGAUGUUGUUGGUGCAUUAAAAAUGCGAACAUAUCUGAGUGGUAUGCCUGAAUGUAAGCUUGGGCUCAAUGACAGAUUAUUAUUGGAGGCUCAAGGUAGAUCAACAAAGGGAAAAGCCAUUGAUCUGGAUGAUAUCAAAUUUCACCAGUGUGUGCGUUUGGCCCGAUUUGAAAAUGAUAGGACAAUUUCCUUCAUUCCCCCAGAUGGAUCUUUUGACCUAAUGACAUACAGACUCAGUACUCAGGUAAAGCCAUUGAUCUGGGUGGAAGCUCAAGUAGAAAGGCAUUCAAGAAGUCGUAUGGAAAUCAUGGUAAAAGCCCGGAGCCAGUUCAAGGAGCGUAGCACUGCGACUAAUGUCGAAAUUGAGCUUCCUGUGCCAUCUGAUGCGACAAAUCCUAAUGUUCGGACUUCCAUGGGUUCUGCUGCUUAUGCACCUGAAAGUGAUGCAUUGGUUUGGAAAAUAAAAUCUUUUCCUGGUGGCAAGGAGUACAUGUUAAGAGCAGAAUUUGUGCUUCCCAGUGUAACUGCUGAAGAAGCAAUUCCAGAGAGGAAAGCUCCCAUCCGCGUGAAGUUUGAGAUACCGUAUUUUACCGUCUCUGGAAUACAGGUCCGUUAUCUGAAGAUUAUUGAGAAGAGCGGUUACCAAUCUCUUCCAUGGGUGAGAUACAUAACAAUGGCUGGUGAAUAUGAAUUGAGACUUAUUUGAGAGGCGCCGUCCAUUUCUACUUCUGAGUAGGUAACAUAUCUAAUGGGCUCCCACUAUCUAGACUGAAACCUGCAAAUGAUAUCAGGGAGCAUCUUAGGAGGACAUUGAUGCAUUCCUGUACCCAUGAUAAUAGGUGGGAACUUGGAAGAGAGGGAAACGUUUUCUGAGGUCUCGAGUCUCCUGACUCGCAUUUGCUAACUAAUCAGCAUAAAAGUUUAUAACUAGCAUCUAUCAACUAACAUCUUUGCUAACCAAUCUCACCAUAGAGUCUGGAACUCUAAAAUCUUUGCACACACAAUAGGUUUUUGUAUGAUUCAUAAAAAGAAAGAGGACAUGUAUGAUGCAGACAUGAUGGUGUCAUACAUUCGUAUGUAAUGGCGAUGAUUUCUGUUUGUUCA